AGUACUUUGGAGAAGACAUGCCAACAGAUGGUCUUGAGCCAUUAAGUGGGAGGAAGAGAGAAGGAAAUUAUUCUCCAGUUUUUACUGAGAAGCAGGAUCAUGUUUGCUGGGAAGGUCAUGGAGAAAGAAGGUGAUGGGAAUAGAAAACAGAUAAAGGAAAAUUUUAGCCUUUAUUUUUCCUCUAUUCAAAAACUGGAAAUUCACCUGGAUGAGGAUUAAGAUGAGCAUGAAAAAAGUAAGAUGGAUUUGUAGAAAGCAAAAGUACUUCAAGAAAAACUCAAAUGUUCUAAAAGACACUGUAGCGUAUGUACAAAAGGAGAUCAAACCCCAUGUUCAAUAAAAGUAUAUUCAGUAGGAACAGCUGAUCAAUCCCAUAAGAUGGAUCUGGACUUUCUGGCUAAACCUGAAGUGUUGAAAUAAAAUUCAUUUACUGUG